UACGGGGGGGGGCAAGCGUUGUUCGGAAUUACUGGGCGUAAAGGGCUCGUAGGUGGCCAACUAAGUCGGACGUGAAAUCCCUCGGCUUAACCGGGGAACUGCGUCUGAUACUGGAUGGCUGGAGUAUGGGAGAGGAAUGCGGAAUUCCAGGUGUAGCGGUGAAAUGCGUAGAUAUCUGGAGGAACACCGGUGGCGAAGGCGGCAUUCUGGACCAUUACUGACGCUGAGGAGCGAAAGCCAGGGGAGCAAACGGG
rnacentral:rRNA from 1 species